GUGGCACCAGAAGCAGGAACACUCAGCUGGAGACGUGAGCCCUUUGAUGCGGUGGAUCUGUUGCAAUCGGAAGUGGAUAGAAGAUUUGAUCAAGAAGGGCUAGGGAUAGCAGCAUGAUAAGAGAAAAUCAUAACUGACACAGGAAAAGGAAACACAGCUCAACUGGAUGCACAGUCCUUUGAUUCCCCUUCGCCACGCAGCUAGACACAGGCCACCUGCUGAUCCAUCUCCGCAUGUCGGAAGAGAUCACAAAGAAUACCCCAUGCAGCACUGUCCCAGAGGUUUCUUCAACUCUGGUCUAACUUCACCCUGAAACUAGAGGUCUCUUCUACUCUGGCCCCACUUCACCCUGAAACUAGAGGUCUCUUCAACUCUGGCCCCACUUCACCCUGAAACUAGAGGUCUCUUCUACUCUGGUCUAACUUCACCCUGAAACUAGAGGUCUCUGAUCCACUACCUUCAUAUCAUAGGCCUGCAUUAUAAUAGACUGAUGGCCACACCAGACCAAACCUUCACAAUAGUUUAUUAUUAAAAGUAAGUCAAGCCAUUGUUUUUC
rnacentral:lncRNA from 1 species